rnacentral:rRNA from 1 species
GACGUAGGGCGCGAGCGUUGUCCGGAUUUAUUGGGCGUAAAGAGCUCGUAGGCGGCUCGUUGCGUCGGCUGUGAAAACCCGCAGCUCAACUGUGGGCUUGCAGCUGAUACGGGCGGGCUGGGAUUCGGUAGGGGAGACUGGAAUUCCUGGUGUAGCGGUGAAAUGCGCAGAUAUCAGGAGGAACACCGGUGGCGAAGGCGGGUCUCUGGGCCGACAUUGACACUAAAGCGCGAAAGCCAGGGGAGCAAACGGG